GUACCUUCGAGAACAUUUGAUAAAAUUAGAACGAUACAUAGAAGAUUAGCAUGGCCAUGCGCAAUGAUGUUAUGGACAAAUCGAGAAGAUCUUAAUAAAUUU
rfam:Nicotiana attenuata strain TT chromosome 5, whole genome shotgun sequence.